rnacentral:tRNA from 1 species
CGGGGUAUGGCCUAAUUGGCUAAGGCGCCUGCUUUGGGAGCAGGAGAUUCUGGGUUCAAGUCCCAGUACCCCGAC